rnacentral:rRNA from 1 species
GACGAGGGAUCCUAGCGUUGCUCGGAAUUAUUGGGCGUAAAGCGGGUGUAGGUGGCUUGGUAAGUCGGGUGUGAAAGCCCAGGGCUCAACCCUGGAAGUGCAUUCGAUACUGCUGAGCUUGAGUGCGAGAGAGGUUAAUAGAAUACCUGGUGUAGUGGUGAAAUACGUAGAUAUCGAGAGGAACACCUGCGGCGAAGGCGGGUUGCUGGGCUGACACUGACGCUGACAGCGCGAAAGCUAGGGGAGCGAACGGG